AUACGAAGGGAGCUAGCGUUGUUCGGAAUUAUUGGGCGUAAAGGGCGCGUAGGCGGCCUGGUAAGUCGGACGUGAAAUCCCGCGGCUCAACCGCGGAACUGCCUUCAAAACUGCCAGACUCGAGUCCGGGAGAGGGAAGCGGAACUCCUAGUGUAGAGGUGAAAUUCGUAGAUAUUAGGAAGAACACCAGUGGCGAAGGCGGCUUCCUGGACCGGUACUGACGCUGAGGUGCGAAAGCGUGGGGAGCAAACAGGAUUAGAAACCCCGGUAGUCC
rnacentral:rRNA from 1 species